UACGUAGGGGUGCAAGCGUUAAUCGGAAUUACUGGGCGUAAAGCGUGCGCAGGCGGUUCGCUAAGACAGAUGUGAAAUCCCCGGGCUUAACCUGGGAACUGCAUUUGUGACUGGCGGGCUAGAGUAUGGCAGAGGGGGGGUAGAAUUCCACGUGUAGCAGUGAAAUGCGUAGAGAUGUGGAGGAAUACCGAUGGCGAAGGCAGCCCCCUGGGCCAAUACGUGACGCUCAUGCACGAAAGCGUGGGGAGCAAACAGG
rnacentral:rRNA from 1 species